rnacentral:rRNA from 1 species
CCCGCUGAACUUAAGCAUAUCAAUAAGCGGAGGAAAAGAAACCAACAGGGAUUGCCUCAGUAACGGCGAGUGAAGCGGCAACAGCUCAAAUUUGAAAUCUGGCUCUUUCAGGGUCCGAGUUGUAAUUUGUAGAGGAUGCUUCGGCGUGGGCUCCGGUCUAAGUUCCUUGGAACAGGACGUCACAGAGGGUGAGAAUCCCGUAUGUGAUCGGUUGCCUUUGCCAUGUGAAGCUCCUUCGACGAGUCGAGUUGUUUGGGAAUGCAGCUCUAAAUGGGAGGUAAAUUUCUUCUAAAGCUAAAUACUGGCCAGAGACCGAUAGCGCACAAGUAGAGUGAUCGAAAGAUGAAAAGCACUUUGGAAAGAGAGUCAAAAAGUACGUGAAAUUGUUGAAAGGGAAGCGCUUGCAACCAGACCUGCCUGCAGUUGCUCAUCCGGGCUUUUGCCCGGUGCACUCUUCUGCUGUCAGGCCAGCAUCGGUUCGGGCGGUCGGAUAAAGGCUUCGGGAAUGUAUCUACCCACGGGUAGACUUAUAGACCAGGGUGUCAUGCGGCCUCUCGGGACCGAGGAACGCGCUUCGGCUCGGAUGUUGGCGUAAUGGUUGUCAGCGACCCGUCUUGAAACACGG